rnacentral:rRNA from 4 species
GAGGGAAACCGAGUCUUAAUUGGGCGUUAAGUUGCAGGGUAUAGACCCGAAACCCGGUGAUCUAGCCAUGGGCAGGUUGAAGGUUGGGUAACACUAACUGGAGGACCGAACCGACUAAUGUUGAAAAAUUAGCGGAUGACCUGUGGCUGGGGGUGAAAGGCCAAUCAAACCGGGAGAUAGCUGGUUCUCCCCGAAAGCUAUUUAGGUAGCGCCUCGUGAAUUCAUCUCCGGGGGUAGAGCACUGUUUCGGCUAGGGGGCCAUCCCGGCUUACCAACCCGAUGCAAACUGCGAAUACCGGAGAAUGUUAUCACGGGAGACACACGGCGGGUGCUAACGUCCGUCGUGAAGAGGGAAACAACCCAGACCGCCAGCUAAGGUCCCAAAGUCAUGGUUAAGUGGGAAACGAUGUGGGAAGGCCCAGACAGCCAGGAUGUUGGCUUAGAAGCAGCCAUCAUUUAAAGAAAGCGUAAUAGCUCACUGGUCGAGUCGGCCUGCGCGGAAGAUGUAACGGGGCUAAACCAUG